rnacentral:rRNA from 1 species
AUGGUCAGUAGGGCAAAGGGAGCAAUCCGCUCUGGGAUGAGCCCGCGGCCCAUUAGCUAGUUGGUGAGGUAACGGCCCACCAAGGCGACGAUGGGUAGCUGGUCUGAGAGGAUGUCCAGCCACACUGGGACUGAGACAUGGUCCAGACUCCUACGGGAGUUAGCAUCGAGGGAUAUUGCGCAAUGGGCGAAAGCCUGACGCAGUGACGCCGCGUGGAGGAUGAAGGCUUUCGGGUUGUAAACUCCUGUCGGGUGGGAAGAAAUGCCUGGCUUUGCCAGGAGCUGACGGUACCACCCAAGAAAGCUCCAGCUAACUACGUGCCAGCAGCUGCGGUAAUACGUAGGGAGCGAGCGUUGUCCGGAAUCACUGGGCGUAAAGGGCAUCUAGGCGGUCCUGUAAGUCGAAUGUGAAAUGCUCAGGCUUAACCUGAGAAAGCCGUUCGAUACUGCCGGACUUGAGUACCGGAGAGGGCAACGGAACUCCUGGUGUAGCGGUGAAAUGCGUAGAUAUCAGGAGGAACACCCGUGGCGAAGGCGGUUGCCUGGACGGUAACUGACGCUGAAGUGCGAAAGCUAGGGGAGCGAACGGGAUUAGAUACCCCGGUAGUCCUAGCCGUAAACGAUGGUCACUAGGUGUUGGAGGCAUCGACCCUUCCAGUGCCGAAGCUAACGCAUUAAGUGACCCGCCUGGGGAGUACGGCCGCAAGGUUAAAACUCAAAGGAAUUGACGGGGGCCCGCACAAGCGGUGGAGCAUGUUGCUUAAUUCGACGCAACGCGAAGAACCUUACCAGGCCUUGACAUCGAAGGAAAGCCUAUGAAAGUAGGCCCACCCCGCAAGGGGACCCGAAGACAGGUGGUGCAUGGCUGUCGUCAGCUCGUGUCGUGAGAUGUUGGGUUAAGUCCCGCAACGAGCGCAACCCUCAUCGCGUGUUGCCAGCGGAUAAUGCCGGGAACUCUCGCGAAACUGCCAGAGCAAUCUGGAGGAAGGUGGGGAUGACGUCAAGUCAGCAUGCCCCUUACGGCCUGGGCUGCAAACAUGCUACAAUGGCCGGUACAAAGGGGAGCGAAGCCGCGAGGUGGAGCCAAUCCCAAAAAGCUGGUCUCAGUUCGGAUUGAAGUCUGCAACUCGACUUCAUGAAGCCGGAAUCGCUAGUAACCGCAGAUCAGCAACGCUGCGGUGAAUACGUUCCCGGGCCUUGUACACACCGCCCGUCAAGUCAUGGGAGUGGUCUACACCCGAAGCCGGUGGGCUAACCGCAAGGAAGCAGCCGUCGAAGGUGGAGGCCGCGACUGGGACUAAGUCGUAACAAGGUA